GACGAACGCUGGCGGCGUGCCUAAUACAUGCAAGUAGAACGCUGAAGAGAGGAGCUUGCUCUUCUUGGAUGAGUUGCGAACGGGUGAGUAACGCGUAGGUAACCUGCCUUGUAGCGGGGGAUAACUAUUGGAAACGAUAGCUAAUACCGCAUAACAAUGGAUGACACAAGUCAUUUAUUUGAAAGGGGCAAUUGCUCCACUACAAGAUGGACCUGCGUUGUAUUAGCUAGUAGGUGAGGUAAUGGCUCACCUAGGCGACGAUACAUAGCCGACCUGAGAGGGUGAUCGGCCACACUGGGACUGGGACACGGCCCAGACUCCUACGGGGGGCAGCAGUAGGGAAUCUUCGGCAAUGGGGGCAACCCUGACCGAGCCACGCCGCGGGAGUGAAGAAGGUUUUCGGAUCGUAAAGCUCUGUUGUAAGUCAAGAACGGGUGUGAGAGUGGAAAGUUCACACUGUGACGGUAGCUUACCAGAAAGGGACGGCUAACUACGUG
rnacentral:rRNA from 1 species